AACAUGUCUUUUUGAUUAUAAUUUAAAGUCUAAUCUGCUCUAUGAUAAAUAUUUAUAUUAAAUAGCUGCAGUAUAUUAACUGUACAAAGGUAGCAUAAUCAAUAGUUUUUUAAUUGAAAGCUGGAAUGAAAGAUUGAAUGAAAUAAUUUUUGUCUCAAAUUAAUUAAUAUUAUAAUUUUUAUUUUAGUAAAAAUACUAAAUUAAUUUUAAAAGACGAGAAGACCCUAUAGAAUUUUAUAUAUUUUUAUUUAAUUAUUAAUUUUAAAUAUUGAUAUAUUGGAUUGGGGAAAUUAUUAAAUUUAAAAAAUUUUAAUUAAUUAUAAACAAAAAUUAUUGAUUUUUUGAUCUAAAAAUUUUAAAUAUAAGAAUAAAUUACCUUAGGGAUAACAGCGUAAUUUUUUUAGAGAGAUCUAAUUAAUAAAAAAGUUUGCGACCUCGAUGUUGAAUUAAAAUAAAUUUUUAAUGAAGAAGUUAAAAAAAUUUAGUCUGUUCGACUAUUAAUAUUUUACGUGAUCUGA
rnacentral:rRNA from 1 species